UACGUAGGGUCCGAGCGUUGUCCGGAAUUAUUGGGCGUAAAGGGCUCGUAGGCGGUUUGUCGCGUCGGGAGUGAAAACUCAGGGAUUAACCCUGAGCCUGCUUCCGAUACGGGCAGACUAGAGGUAUGCAGGGGAGAACGGAAUUCCUGGUGUAGCGGUGAAAUGCGCAGAUAUCAGGAGGAACACCGGUGGCGAAGGCGGUUCUCUGGGCAUUACCUGACGCUGAGGAGCGAAAGUGUGGGGAGCGAACAGG
rnacentral:rRNA from 1 species